rnacentral:rRNA from 1 species
CUUGAGCACGUAGGUGGGUUUGUAAGUCAGGUGUGAAAGCCUUCUGUUCAACGGGAGAAUUGCAUCUGAAACUACGAAUCUUGAGUGUAGGAGGGGAGAAUGGAACUUCUGGUGGAGCGGUGAAAUGCGUAGAUAUCAGAAGGAACGCCGGCGGCGAAAGCGAUUCUCUGGCCUAUUACUGACACUCAGUGUGCGAAAGCUAGGGGAGCAAACGGGAUUAGAUACCCCGGUAGUCCUAGCCGUAAACGAUGGGCACUAAGUAGAGGGGAUUACCGACGUUCUCUCUGCCGUAGCUAACGCAUUAAGUGCCCCGCCUGGGGAGUACGGCCGCAAGGCUAAAACUCAAAAGAAUUGACGGGGGCUCGCACAAGCGGUGGAGCAUGUGGCUUAAUUCGAUGCAACGCGAAGAACCUUACCGGGGCUUGACAUGGUAGAAGUAGGAACCCGAAAGGGUAACGAACGGUAUCCAGUCCGUGACUAUCACAGGUGUUGCAUGGCUGUCGUCAGCUCGUGUCGUGAGACGUUGGGUUAAGUCCCCUAACGAGCGAAACCCUUGUUUUUAGUUACCAGCGGGUUAUGCCGGGUACUCUAGAAAGACUGCCGUCGUCAAGACGGAGGAAGGUGGGGAUGACGUCAAGUCAUCAUGGCCCUUAUGCCCCGGGCUGCACACGUGCUACAAUGGUCGGUACAAACGGAAGCGAAGCCGAGAGGUGAAGCGAAUCCAAGC